AUCGCUUCUCGGCCUUUUGGCUAAGAUCAAGUGUAGUAUCAGAGGCUUUAGUUUACUCAGUAAAGCAGAUGUGUUUUGCAAUUCUC
rnacentral:snRNA from 1 species